UCUCAGGUGGCUUAGACAGUAAAGAGUCUGCCUGUAAUGCAGGAGACCCAUGUUCAAUCCCUGGAUUGGGAA
rnacentral:tRNA from 1 species